GGGGACGUUACGGAUUCGACAAGCACAGUUCGAGCUUGAAUUGCGUUUCGUAGCUUACGUCUACGUUAAAACGUUACAGUUAAAUAUAACUGCUAAAAACGAAAACAACUCUUACGCUUUAGCUGCCUAAAAACAGUUAGCGUAGAUCCUCUCGGCAUCGCCCAUGUGCUCGAGUAAGGGUCUCAAAUUUAGUGGGAUACGUUAAACUUUUCCGUCUGUAAAGUUUAAAAGAGAUCAUCAGACUAGCAAUACAGAAUGCCUGUCACUCGGCAAGCUGUAAAGCGAAACCUCAAAUGAGUUGACUAUGAACGUAGAUUUUUAAGUGUCGAUGUGUUUGGACGCGGGUUCGACUCCCGCCGUCUCCAUUG
rnacentral:tmRNA from 2 species